CUUCUGCCUUAUUUUUUGAUGCGCAAUAUUUGUUCCAUUUCAAGGUCAGCACAAGGUUAGUAGUUUACAAAUGUUCCUGGAUAUCAAGGGAAGAGGAGAAACGUAUUAGGAGAGAGAGAGUGAGUGAGGUAAUGUCAAAAACACAAAUAAGGAGCAAAGGAAGAGAAAGAAAGUAAAGAUAGCGAAAGUCAUCAUUCGAAUGCGGGAAAGGCCAUAGACAUCAACAUCAUCAUCAUCUUGAUUUGUAUGAAGGCGCCAAAAAUGUCACGAGUAUUAUAAAUAGCGAGAAGAAUGCAUUGGUACACCAACACAAGUGUUACAUGUCAAAGCAGGCUGAUAUUGUUGUUGCGUGUGUUAUGAAUGUGACAGUUGAAAUGCAUUAACAGUAAGCUUUGUGACAAAAAAGUGACGAUGAUUAGUGUUACGUAACGUAAUGCUCAGCGUUGUGUGACAAUGCGUUUCAAAGGGAUGUGUAUAACUAAAACCGAAAAUACCGUGGAAUAUUUAAACAAAAAUGGAAAAUUUUGUUGAAGAUCAUUAAAAUAAAGAACUCAGCAAUAAAA